AAGCGAGCGUAGGUGGCUUGAUAAGUCAGAUGUGAAAUCCCCGGGCUUAACCUGGGAACUGCAUCUGAUACUGUUGGGCUAGAGUAGGUGAGAGGGAGGUAGAAUUUCAGGUGUAGCGGUGAAAUGCGUAGAGAUCUGAAGGAAUACCGAUGGCGAAGGCAGCCUCCUGGCAUCAUACUGACACUGAGGUUCGAAAGCGUGGGUAGCAAACAGGAUUAGAUACCCUGGUAGUCCACGCCGUAAAC
rnacentral:rRNA from 1 species